rnacentral:rRNA from 1 species
GACGAACGCUGGCGGCGUGCUUUAGGCAUGCAAGUCGAACGCGAAAGCCCCUUCGGGGGUGAGUCGAGUGGCGAACGGGUGAGUAACACGUGGGUAACCUGCCCCUCGCAGGGGGAUAACCGGGGGAAACCCCGGCUAAUACCCCGUACGCUUGCUGGGGCGCAUGCUCCGGCAAGGAAAGGUAGCUUCGGCCAUCCGGCGAGGGAGGGGCCCGCGGCCAAUUAGCUAGUUGGGGGGGUAACGGCCCACCAGGGCGACGAUGGGUAGCUGGCCUGAGAGGGUGGUCAGCCAAAUGGGACCGGAGCAAGGGCCAGGACCCCUACGGGAGGCACAGGCCGGGAAUCUGGAGAAAUGGGGGAAAGCCUGACGAAGCAACGCGGGGGGGGGGAUGAGGGCCUUCGGGUGGUAAAGCCCUGUUGUCGGGGACGAAGGGAGAAGGGUUAAUCGCCCCUAGCCUGGCGGUACCAGACGAGGAAGCCCCGGCUAACUACGUG